ACAGGGGCGCGCGUGAGUUCCGGCGGCCUGCACCGGGCAAACCCGUACCUUCCCAGCAUAGGCUCAGCAACCCACGUGCAUCCAGGCCGGUUAAUGUCAUUGAGUCACUUCCGCGCCUUGGCCACCCUGGAGUCCCGAGAAUCCGAAGUUCCAGACAAAUGCCCAAACUACAUUCCUACAUGUUCGAAAGCGUAAAUUGCAAAGCACAAAUCCAGUUGUAGAUUGUGGCCGGGAGCAGUGGCUGACGCCUGUAAUCCCAGCACUUUGGGAGGCCGAGGCGGACGGAUCACGAGGUCAGCACUUCGAGACCAGCAUGGCCAACAUGGUGAAGCCCCAUCUCUACUAAAAAUACAAACAUUAGCCAGGCAUGGUGGCAGGCCCCUGUAAUCCCAGCUACUCGGUAGGCUGAGGCAGGAGAAUCACUUGAACCCGGGAGGCAGAGGUUUCAGUGAGCUGAGACUGCACCAUUGCACUCCAGCCUGGGCGACAGACCAAGACUCCAUCUCAAAAAAAAAAAAAAAAAAAAAAAGUUAUAGAUCGUAAGGAAAAUACCCCCAAGGAAGUUGAGGACACAGCAGAGUUGGACUGUCUCCAAACCUGUUCAUUCUUCUGAGUGCACUGCUCGGAGCAUCCUAUUGGGCAGCAUAUCCUGGCCUCCUUUCCAGUUCGAUGUGGUAAUAUACCUGAUUUCUGGCCAAUAAAAUAUGAGAGGACAUGAAAUUCAACAGCCCCUGGGCUUGGCUUAUAAAACCUUCCAUGCAAUCCUCCAAACCUUUUCACCUCUCAGCUGCUGAGACUUUUCUAGGCACUACACAGAAGCAGCCUGGGUCUCCAGUAGCAAAGGAGAGCAGAUCCUUCUCACUAUCCUGCACCGAACUGUGACAUGAGCAAAAAAUAAAGUUUUUAUUUUCUUACAC
rnacentral:lncRNA from 1 species